rnacentral:rRNA from 1 species
CUACGGGCGGCAGCAGUGGGGAAUAUUGGACAAUGGGGGAAACCCUGAUCCAGCAAUGCCGCGUGUGUGAAGAAGGCCUGCGGGUUGUAAAGCACUUUCGGUUGGGAGGACUGCUUCUAGCACUAAUAUUGUUGGAAGUUGACGUUACCUUCAGAAGAAGCACCGGCUAACUCCGUGCCAGCAGCCGCGGUAAUACGGAGGGUGCAAGCGUAAAUCGGAAUUACUGGGCGUAAAGCGCGCGUAGGCGGCUAGAUCAGUCGGGUGUGAAAGCCCCGGGCUUAACCUGGGGACUGCAUCCGAUACUGUCUAGCUUGAGUACAGGAGAGGAGAGUGGAAUUCCACAUGUAGCGGUGAAAUGCGUAGAUAUGUGGAGGAGCACCAAUGGCGAAGGCAGCUCUCUGGCCUGAUACUGACGCUGAGGUGCGAAAGCGUGGGGAGCAAACAGGAUUAGAUACCCUAGUAGUC